CGGUGAAGCAGAGCUUGCUCUGUGGAUCAGUGGCGAACGGGUGAGUAACACGUGAGCAACCUGCCCCUGACUCUGGGAUAAGCGCUGGAAACGGCGUCUAAUACUGGAUAUGAGCUGCGACCGCAUGGUCAGCAGUUGGAAAGAUUUUUCGGUCUGGGAUGGGCUCACGGCCUAUCAGCUUGUUGGUGAGGUAAUGGCUCACCAAGGCGUCGACGGGUAGCCGGCCUGAGAGGGUGACCGGCCACACUGGGACUGAGACACGGCCCAGACUCCUACGGGAGGCAGCAGUGGGGAAUAUUGCACAAUGGGCGCAAGCCUGAUGCAGCAACGCCGCGUGAGGGACGACGGCCUUCGGGUUGUAAACCUCUUUUAGCAGGGAAGAAGCGAAAGUGACGGUACCUGCAGAAAAAGCGCCGGCUAACUACGUGCCAGCAGCCGCGGUAAUACGUAGGGCGCAAGCGUUAUCCGGAAUUAUUGGGCGUAAAGAGCUCGUAGGCGGUUUGUCGCGUCUGCUGUGAAAUCCCGAGGCUCAACCUCGGGUCUGCAGUGGGUACGGGCAGACUAGAGUGCGGUAGGGGAGAUUGGAAUUCCUGGUGUAGCGGUGGAAUGCGCAGAUAUCAGGAGGAACACCGAUGGCGAAGGCAGAUCUCUGGGCCGUUACUGACGCUGAGGAGCGAAAGGGUGGGGAGCAAACAGGCUUAGAUACCCUGGUAGUCCACCCCGUAAACGUUGGGAACUAGUUGUGGGGUCCAUUCCACGGAUUCCGUGACGCAGCUAACGCAUUAAGUUCCCCGCCUGGGGAGUACGGCCGCAAGGCUAAAACUCAAAGGAAUUGACGGGGACCCGCACAAGCGGCGGAGCAUGCGGAUUAAUUCGAUGCAACGCGAAGAACCUUACCAAGACUUGACAUAUACGAGAACGGGCCAGAAAUGGUCAACUCUUUGGACACUCGUAAACAGGUGGUGCAUGGUUGUCGUCAGCUCGUGUCGUGAGAUGUUGGGUUAAGUCCCGCAACGAGCGCAACCCUCGUUCUAUGUUGCCAGCACGUAAUGGUGGGAACUCAUGGGAUACUGCCGGGGUCAACUCGGAGGAAGGUGGGGAUGACGUCAAAUCAUCAUGCCCCUUAUGUCUUGGGCUUCACGCAUGCUACAAUGGCCGGUACAAAGGGCUGCAAUACCGCGAGGUGGAGCGAAUCCCAAAAAGCCGGUCCCAGUUCGGAUUGAGGUCUGCAACUCGACCUCAUGAAGUCGGAGUCGCUAGUAAUCGCAGAUCAGCAACGCUGCGGUGAAUACGUUCCCGGGUCUUGUACACACCGCCCGUCAAGUCAUGAAAGUCGGUAACACCUGAAGCCGGUGGCCUAACCCUUGUGGAGGGA
rnacentral:rRNA from 1 species